rnacentral:rRNA from 1 species
ACCUACGGGGGGCAGCAGUGGGGAAUAUUGGGCAAUGGGCGCAAGCCUGACCCAGCAACGCCGCGUGAAGGAAGAAGGCUUUCUGGUUGUAAACUUCCUUUGUCAGGGACGAAGCAAGUGACGGUACCUGACGAAUAAGCCACGGCUAACUACGUGCCAGCAGCCGCGGUAAUACGUAGGUGGCAAGCGUUAUCCGGAUUUAUUGGGCGUAAAGGGCGUGUAGGCGGGAAUGCAAGACAGAUG